GAGAAAGAGAGGUGCUCUGUUUUUCCCCUUCGUUCUUUCGUUAUUCCUCUGGGUCUUCGCGUCCUUCUCUUCCAAUUCUGCCACCUCUGACCACCGCCGUUCGACACGCCAUCGACAGGAGUAGAAACUCCGCUUGCCGCUGCUGUGACAUCGCCGAGACUCUUCGUUCUUUCCUGCUCUGUGUCUUCCAUAAACCACUGUAUUGUGGUACAAAUCGGGGUUUGGAAGAAGAAGAUUUUGAUAGGAACUAAAAAGGGAGAAAAUCUUUGAAAAUUUGGGAACACCACAGAUAGUGUAGCUGACAUUGAAUCACCCACUGAACAUUGAGGAGUUUUUGAUUGAUUAGAAGCGAAGGAGCUAAGGAUUUAACUUUCUCUUGACGUAAAGUUUUAAUUAUGAAAUUUUAUUUUGUAAAUUUAUUGUUAGGUGCUCCACAUAGUCUGUGGUCAGUUUUUUUUUAUGUGGUUAUAUAUUUUAUCUGUCAGUUGGAAGGAGCUCUACUCCUGAUUGGCUUGAUAUUUUUGGUUGAAAUAUUGUCUUGUAGAAUUUUUGGGAAAUCUUAUUUACGGAGGAGAUUCUGUCGAAAUUUCUACAAAAUAUUGAGACUUUUAUUACUACCAAAAAUGUUUACGUAUGUUCUAAUUCAAACUAAAACAUAAUUAUCUUUUAGUUAUGAAAAGAUUACCCAA